UGUGUUAAGAUUAAACUUGAUUAACAUGAGGUGCUAGAAUUAUCUUGUACUAGCUAGAAAAAAUCUUUUAUAAAAAUUAAUGUAUUAAACUAGACAAUUCUAGGAGGAUACUAGAUACUUCUCAAAUAAAAUUCAUAGGCAUCAAUCGAGAGAAUUCUAUAAACUUGUAUAAUCAUUCAAGUAUCUAGAUCAUUCCAUGGAGUAGUAUAAAUAUGUGAUGUUGUAACUCAUUUUGAAAUCAAGAAAUCAAUAAAAUAACAAAAGCCUUCUUCAAUAUAAAGUUUUAUCUCCAUUCCAAUUCUCUACAUUUCCUAAACUCUUUCCUUCUCAUUCUAAAUNNNN
rnacentral:lncRNA from 1 species